GAAUACGCUAACAGAAAUUCUAACACACAGGAAAUAGACUCCACAUUUUACCAAGAUAAAGCAUUUAGGGAGAAAAACUGGUUCCUGCAAGCACAGUCUACUCUGCACUGUACAAUUCCAUUCCAUACAACAACAUCAAUCAAGAGCUGCUUCACAGAAAAUAUGCCACCUCCACCUGCAUCAUCACUUCUUGCGCCUUUUUGUCUCAACCUUGGGGCCAGUGAGGGAUGACACAGCUACUGUGUUUGGGGAUCUUUUGGCAUUCUCAGAGGAGCAGUCAGAACAGAGGAAGUUGUCUAAUUUCUUUGCUUGCUCAAUAGUCAUGCCCAUACAAGAUGGAUGAAACCAGUCCUUGCAUUCCUCGCACUGGACCAUCAGAUCGUCCGGAUUAUAAGGCAUCUCGCACUUACAGUACACAGCGACGCGGUCGGGGGUGAACCCCCCAG
rnacentral:misc_RNA from 1 species